rnacentral:rRNA from 1 species
AUUGAACGCUGGCGGCAGGCCUAACACAUGCAAGUCGUGCGGAGCGGCGGACGGGUGCGUAAUGCCUAGGAAUCUGCCCGGUAGUGGGGGAUAACGUCCGGAAACGAGCGCUUAUACCGCAUACUAUCAGAUGAGCCUAGGUCGGAUUCGCUAGUUGGUGGGGUAAAGGCCUACCAAGGCGACGAUCCGUAACUGGUCUGAGUGGAUGAUCAGUCACACUGGUACUGAGACACGGUCCAGACUCCUACGGGAGGCAGCAGGGGGUAAUAUGGGACAAUGGGCGAAAGCCUGAUCCAGCCAUGCCGCGGGUGUGAAGAAGGUCUUCGGAUUGUAAAGCACGUUAAGUUGGGAAGCGUUACCAACAGAAUAAGCACCGGCUAACUUCGUGCCAGCAGCCGCGGUAAUAC